AAACAGAACAAGGACAGGAAAGUUAACAGAGAGAAGAUUCUGUAGCUGCAAAAAUACCUCUAGGUGUUCCGGACACUAUGUGCCUAUAGCUGGCUACAGGAUCACAGCAGCCAAAAGCCCUCCAGGAAGAAGUAUGGAAGCAGCUUUAUUGAGGUUGCCAGCAAGGAUUACGGCUUCUUUGACGCAUGAACGUUUUGGAAUUUAUGAGGAUUUUAAUGAGGAUUUUCUGAAAAAAAUAAAAAUGGUCGAACUUGAAGCUGCAGCAGAAGAAGAUAUGGAAAAACUAAAAUCUUCCUCAAGCAAAUAUUAGAGUAAUUGUCAUUAUCUCACCAUGCUCUUUUCCUGGUU
rnacentral:lncRNA from 1 species